rnacentral:rRNA from 1 species
CUACGGGCGGCUCCAGUGGGGAAUAUUGCACAAUGGGCGCAAGCCUGAUGCAGCAACGCCGCGUGAGGGACGACGGCCUUCGGGUUGUAAACCUCUUUUAGCAGGGAAGAAGCGAAAGUGACGGUACCUGCAGAAAAAGCACCGGCUAACUACGUGCCAGCAGCCGCGGUGAAUACGUAGGGUGCAAGCGUUGUCCGGAAUUAUUGGGCGUAAAGAGCUCGUAGGCGGUUUGUCGCGUCUGCUGUGAAAAUCCGAGGCUCAACCUCGGACCUGCAGUGGGUACGGGCAAACUAGAGUGCGGUAGGGGAGAUUGGAAUUCCUGGUGUAGCGGUGGAAUGCGCAGAUAUCAGGAGGAACACCAAUGGCGAAGGCAGAUCUCUGGGCCGUAACUGACGCUGAGGAGCGAAAGCGUGGGGAGCGAACAGGAUUAGAUACCCGCGUAGUC